rnacentral:rRNA from 1 species
UACGUAGGUGGCAAGCGUUGUCCGGAAUUAUUGGGCGUAAAGCGCGCGCAGGCGGUCCUUUAAGUCUGAUGUGAAAGCCCACGGCUCAACCGUGGAGGGUCAUUGGAAACUGGGGGACUUGAGUACAGAAGAGAAGAGUGGAAUUCCACGUGUAGCGGUGAAAUGCGUAGAGAUGUGGAGGAACACCAGUGGCGAGGGCGACUCUUUGGUCUGUAACUGACGCUGAGGCGCGAAAGCGUGGGGAGCAAACAGG